rnacentral:misc_RNA from 1 species
CCAAUAGCGUAUAUUAAAGUUGUUGCAGUUAAAAAGCUCGUAGUUGAAUUUCGGGAUCAAAUUGUUGGUCGUGCUUCGGUACGCACUGGCAUUAUUGGUUCCUACCUUCUGAAGAACCGCGAUGUCAUUAAUUUGGUGUCGUGGGGAAUCAGGACUGUUACUUUGAAAAAAUUAGAGUGUUUAAAGCAGGCUUACGCUUGAAUACAUUAGCAUGGAAUAAUGAAAUAGGACGUUUGAUUCUAUUUUGUUGGUUUCUAGGAUCGACGUAAUGAUUAAUAGGGAUAGUUGGGGGCAUUAGUAUUCAAUUGUCAGAGGUGAAAUUCUUGGAUUUAUUGAAGACUAACUACUGCGAAAGCAUUUGCCAAGGAUGUUUUCAUUAAUCAAGAACGAAAGUUAGGGGAUCGAAGACGAUCAGAUACCGUCGUAGUCUUAACCAUAAACUAUGCCGACUAGGGAUCGGAUGAUGUUAAUUUUUUAAUGACUCAUUCGGCGCCUUACG